GGCCCCUUCGUCUAGCGGUUAGGACUUCACGCUUUCAAUGUGAGAACAGGGGUUCGACUCCCCUAGGGGCUA
rnacentral:tRNA from 1 species